GGCUAUAAGGGCAAUCUGGCUGUGACAUCUGUCACCCCAUAGAUUUCUAGGGUUGAUUUGGCUGAUCUGGCUAGCUAGGUGGGUUUCCCUUUGCUCCCUCACCUCUCAAUGUGUAUCCCUCUUGAAGCUGAAUGAUCAGUUGAAGAAGAAGGCCUACUGCAAACAGAGAUGGACCAGUCUUUGCUCAAGGGUAUAUAAGUAGCCACACUUCCUUGCUAGAACCCCCAAACAACCUCUCAACAUUGCCUUAACUGUUUUUGCUCUAGCAAUUAGAAAGUUUUACAUCUGGUUUUGACCUUACAUGAUUCCACUGACU
rfam:Erinaceus europaeus unplaced genomic scaffold scaffold00271, whole genome shotgun sequence